rnacentral:rRNA from 1 species
GAUGAACGCUGGCGGCGUUGCCUAACACAUGCAAGUCGAACGGAGUUACUUUGGCAGACUGAGUGGCGGACGGGUGAGUAACGCGUGGGUAACCUGCCUUAUACAGGGGGAUAACAGUUGGAAACGACUGCUAAUACCGCAUAAGCCCACGGCUCGGCAUCGAGCAGAGGGAAAGGAGCGAUCCGCUUUGAGAUGGCCUCGCGUCCGAUUAGCUAGUUGGGUGAGGUUAAACGGGCCCCACCAAGGCGACGAUCGGUAGCCGGACUGAGAGGUUGAACGGCCACAUUGGGACUGAGACACGGCCCAGACUCCUACGGGAGGCAGCAGUGGGGAAUAUUGCACAAUGGGGGAAACCCUGAUGCAGCGACGCCGCGUGGAGGAAGAAGGUCUUCGGAUUGUAAACUCCUGUUGUUGAGGAAGAUAAUGACGGUACUCAACAAGGAAGUGACGGCUAACUACGUG